rnacentral:rRNA from 1 species
CCACCCGGCCUGCGGAGGAAUGUUGCGUAAAGGGAAAGGUCGUUGUCAAACCCUGCAACCACACGAUCUCUAAGUAAGCCACGAAUAGGCUGUCCCAAACAGGGAAUGACUCCACGGAGGGUGUAAGACCCGUGUGGGCGUGUGUUAAUGUUGCAUGGGCUCGGCCUCUUCUCUGAGAGUCGCGUUGCUUUGGCAUGCAGCGCUAAGCAGGUCGUAAACUCGAUCUAAGACUAAAUAUAUCCAUAAGACCGAUAGUAAACAAGUACCGUGAGGGAAAGUUGAAAAGCACUCUGAAGAGAGAGUCAAAAGACCGUGAAACCGUUCAGAGUAUAAGCCCACGGUGUUUGGAAGGCUUCCGCAGCCAUAGUCUCUUCAGGGGGUUGCGAUGACCUUAUCGUAUGUGUACGGCAGUCAGUCCGAGCGAACACGACGCGAGGGGCCGUCGCCAGAGAAGUGAGUUUUUCUUAUACAUGUUCGAAUUUAUUUUCGUGCGUGUGGGUCUCCUUCUUGUUGGGCGGACGAUAGGUCAUAUGCGGUUCAAGCCCACCACGGUUCGUUGUGAGGUCACCCACAGGCUCUAACUGCCGAUCGUGUGUCGACAUCACUGCCAAUAAUGUUCGUGCCAAUAUUAUGCAUGUGUGUGUUGGGCCAGGCGACUCAAGAGAAUAACCUGGUAUGAUCCUCUUGCGACGAUCUAUUCUGACCGAGUUCCCGUUGUUGUCGAGGGCAAAUUUUAAGUAUUCGUAUAUGUCCUGACGCAAUGUCGGAGCUGCGGUGACACUCGCGUGUGGUGAUAAGUCCGGCACCGUCGGUCACGUCUCGAAACACGGGCCAAGGAGUAUAGCAUGUGUGCAAGUCUAAGGGUGUCACAAAACCCGCAGGCAAAGUUAAAGCAAAGUUCUGGCGAGUACGCUUCGGCACUCUCGUCAACCGCGUGUGUGUGCACACACACACAGUUUAAAGCGAGUUGAUUCUGUUCUGUUGGCAUGUCUAAAGGCAGACGCAGGCUCCGGGCUCACCUAUCAACACUGGCGGCUGUGUUGUGAGCACCGAGGAGCAUGCAUGCUAUAACCCGAA